UACGGGGGGGGCAAGCGUUGUUCGGAAUUACUGGGCGUAAAGGGCUCGUAGGCGGCCAACUAAGUCAUACGUGAAAUCCCUCGGCUUAACCGGGGAACUGCGUCUGAUACUGGAUGGCUUGAGUUCGGGAGAGGGAUGCGGAAUUCCAGGUGUAGCGGUGAAAUGCGUAGAUAUCGGGAGGAACACCUGUGGCGAAAGCGGCUCACUGGACCACAACUGACGCUGAGGCGCGAAAGCUAGGGGAGCAAACAGG
rnacentral:rRNA from 1 species